UACUAAAUAAGUCAGUUGGUAGAGCGUCAGACUAUAAAUCCAGAGGUCCUUGGUUCGAUCCAGGUUUCCGAC
rnacentral:tRNA from 1 species